UACAGAGGGUGCGAGCGUUAAUCGGAGUUACUGGGCGUAAAGGGCGCGUAGGCGGUGAAAUGUGAGUGAUGUGAAAGCCCCGGGCUUAACCUGGGAAGCGCAUCGCAGACUAUUUGACUAGAGUAUAUGAGAGGGUGGCGGAAUUUCCGGUGUAGCGGUGAAAUGCGUAGAGAUCGGAAGGAACGUCGAUGGCGAAGGCAGCCACCUGGCAUAAUACUGACGCUGAGGCGCGAAAGCGUGGGUAGCGAACAGG
rnacentral:rRNA from 1 species